rnacentral:rRNA from 1 species
CCUCCUUCAUCCGAGAUUACCCGCUGAACUUAAGCAUAUCAAUAAGCGGAGGAAAAGAAACCAACAGGGAUUGCCUCAGUAACGGCGAGUGAAGCGGCAAAAGCUCAAAUUUGAAACCCUCGGGAUUGUAAUUUGAAGAUUUGGCAUUGGAGAAAGCUAACCCAAGUUGCUUGGAAUAGUACGUCAUAGAGGGUGACAACCCCGUCUGGCUAACCGUUCUCCAUGUAUUGCCUUAUCAAAGAGUCGAGUUGUUUGGGAAUGCAGCUCAAAGUGGGUGGUAAACUCCAUCUAAAGCUAAAUACUGGUGAGAGACCGAUAGCGAACAAGUACUGUGAAGGAAAGGUGAAAAGAACUUUGAAAAGAGAGUGAAAUAGUAUGUGAAAUUGUUGAUAGGGAAGGAAAUGAGUGGAGAGUGGCCGAGGUWUCAGCCGCCCCUCGUGGGCGGUGUACUGCCGACGCCGAGUCAUCGAUAGCGAGACGAGGGUUACAAAUGGGAGCGCCUUUCGGGCGUUCUCCCCUAACC